GAUAGAUAGAUAGAUAGAUAGAUAGAUAGAUAGAUAGAUAGAUAGAUAGAUAGAUAGAUAGAUAGAUAGAUGUGAAAGGCGCUAUAUGAUAGAUAGAUAGAUAGAUAGAUAGAUAGAUAGAUAGAUAGAUAGAUAGAUGUGAAAGGCGCUAUAUGAUAGAUAGAUAGAUAGAUAGAUAGAUAGAUAGAUAGAUAGAUAGAUAGAUAGAUAGAUAGAUAGAUAGAUAGAUAGAUGUGAAAGGCGCUAUAUGAGAGAUAGAUAGAUAGAUAGAUAGAUAGAUAGAUAGAUAGAUAGAUAGAUAGAUAGAUAGAUAGAUGUGAAAGGCGCUAUAUGAUAGAUAGAUAGAUAGAUAGAUAGAUAGAUAGAUAGAUAGAUAGAUAGAUAGAUAGAUGUGAAAGGCGCUAUAUGAUAGAUAGAUAGAUAGAUAGAUAGAUAGAUAGAUAGAUAGAUAGAUAGAUAGAUAGAUAGAUGUGAAAGGCGCUAUAUGAGAGAUAGAUAGAUAGAUAGAUAGAUAGAUAGAUAGAUAGAUAGAUAGAUAGAUAGAUAGAUAGAUAGAUAGAUGUGAAAGGCGCUAUAUGAUAGAUAGAUAGAUAGAUAGAUAGAUAGAUAGAUAGAUAGAUAGAUAGAUAGAUAGAUAGAUGUGAAAGGCGCUAUAUGAUAGAUAGAUAGAUAGAUAGAUAGAUAGAUAGAUAGAUAGAUGUGAAAGGCGCUAUAUGAUAGAUAGAUAGAUAGAUAGAUAGAUAGAUAGAUAGAUAGAUAGAUAGAUAGAUAGAUAGAUAGAUGUGAAAGGCGCUAUAUGAUAGAUAGAUAGAUAGAUAGAUAGAUAGAUAGAUAGAUAGAUAGAUAGAUAUGAAAGGCGCUAUAUGAUAGAUAGAUAGAUAGAUAGAUAGAUAGAUAGAUAGAUAGAUAGAUAGAUAGAUAGAUGUGAA